UACAUAAAAAUCGGGACUGUGUGAGAGAAUGGGAAUGGGUGCUUCCUGGGAAGCCAACAUCUGCUAAGCCCUGCCGUGGGAGAGGCUCUGCAGCUAAACAUGUUCACCCUCAUGACACUCCAUAAGGCUGCUGCCGCCACCUGGGUCCAUCUGUGGAGGUGGCUUCCACCCGUCCAGAUCGGAGAGCAGAGCCAAGCAGUGAAGCGUUUAUGCCACCCAACAAAUUUGUGUUGACAGCCAGCCCCAUGCAAAGCCCCGUGCCAGGCGCCGCGGAGGUAACAAAUCACCACCUUCCAACAGUGGUGCCUGAGCUGCCAGGAUUAGGAGCAUUCUUCCUGCAGCGUCCUCUGGAAGGCUGAACCUGAGACUUUCCGACAAGGGGACUACGGACAUCACAAAGUACAGAUUCCCAGGCUCUGGCAACUGAAUCAAGUCUGGAAAGGGAGACUGAGAACCUGCAUUUUAAUGAGCUCCUUGGAGAACCCUGAUGUUCAGUCAAGUUGGAAAGCCACUAACUAGGAGUGUCUGGUGAGUUGGCUGGUCUCUGGCCAUAAAGAAAAGCAUCUGAGAGGCUACAAAACAAAUGACAAACUACCCCAAGAAAGAUGAAUCUCUGGGGCAGAGAGCAAUUGGAGAUGGCUUCGAUGUCCCUGAGCAGCAGCAAGGUUUUCAACUUGGCCUGAACCAAUGGAACCAUCAUCAACGGAGCCGUGUGCAGUGGAAAAACUGUUAUCUUCAGAUAGCAGGCUGCUCCAGUUUCUUCUCUCUCCUCCUCCCCUCCUCCUCCUCCAAGCUGAUCACAUUUCCUUGGUGAUUUUCAUGCUUCGUCAGUAGGUCUUAGGGGACAAGUACGAAUUCCAUAGGGACCUUGUCCAUAUAAACUACUCAGUACUAAUGUUAUUCUUUGUAUGAUAUCUUCCUUCCUUUCCUUCUGCCAAUAAGCACUGGUUAAACACCUACUAUGUGCUAUGUGGUGAGCACUACUAUAGAGAAGAAAGCCCUUAAACUGCAGCGAGAGCCACCAGGGAGGCUCUGAGGGGACAAAGAUAAUGUCACUGCUCUGAUCUGCAGAAAAAUGCAUUUCAGGUUACUUUCUUCCUUAGAUAGCAAAAGAGCUGUAACUGAGUGGGAGAAAAUUGAGAGCCUGGCAGCUAGAAUACAGGAUUUCCAGGGAAUUCUACAAAAUCAUGUAAAGCCCCCAUACGGUGAACACUAACCAGUCUCGAAUCCAGAAUACAAUUGAGAUCAGCAGAACACCUCCUAGCCUUUCAUUAUUACCAGCGACUGUUUAAAUUGUUUUAUAUAUACUAACUCUCUAAAUCCCUACAAUAAUGCUAGGAAUUAAAUAUCUUAUUAUCAUCAUUCAAAAUAGGAGAAAUAGAGAUACAAAGAGGUUAAAGGACUUGCCCCAGGCUGGCAGCUUGGAGGUGGUGGAGUUGGGAUUUGAAUUUAUGUAGUCUCAUUGCAGAGUCCUAAGCUGUCUGAAGCAGGUACAUUUACACAACCAAGAAAGUGCUAAUUCAUGGAUUGGAAUGGGGUGGGGUGAAUAACAACUGGAUGGAGCUUUUGAUCCCAAGAUAUUCUAUGAGUUAAAGAUAAAAAGGUCUUGAUAGCUGGGAAGCUCAGAGUGCCUAGCAUCCCCUCACACUUUUAAGGAAGGCCUCAAAAAGGUCAGCUGCUCCCCCAGACCCACCAUCUCCUGGUGUCCCCCUGACAGACAGCAGCCUGGUGCCCCAGUGCCUGACCCACAUUACAGUGCUCAUGUUCUUGAGUAUCAGAUAGAUCUGCAUGGGUCCCUGUAAUAGCAAACCAUAUUUCUGACUGGAAAAUCACAUAAUGUAAUUAGUAUCCAGUGUGGCAAUAUUUCUGGUCCUAGAAGCCUGGAGUCCUAACCUCUAGACUGGACUCUACCACCUACAGUCCUUGAUUUAGUUUCUUCCAUCUGUAAAUAUUUGUUCAUUCAGUAAACAGUUUUAAGCACCUCUCUGUGCCGAGCACCACAUGCUAAACCCUGAAACCACUAAGCUGAAUUCAGGAGUUGCCCCAAAGGAACUCCCUAUUUGGUGGUCGAGGCAGAGGGGGAAAGGGAGCUUUAUGAGGCACUCUCUCAGUCCUCUUAAGGCUCCAGAGCCCCGGGGAGGACCCCACCCUCUCCCUCCUCCCAGGGAGUUUGUGAGCAGCAAAUGAGAUCACACGGGGGAAAGUGCUUUGUAAACAGCAGAGGGUGAGAAAGAGGUGUGGGGGGAGGGGAGGGAGGUCUGUCACCCAGGAACUGUCGGCUAUGCCUAGAGACCGUGGCAGGCGGCUGGCCUUGCUAGUGCUCCGUCUGGGGCUGGGAGCCUGGGCGAGCCCUCCUGGACGCGAGGGAACAAAGCCUGAAGCUCUAGGCUCACUCUGCCAGCAGCCGAGCCCAAACCCUGGUGCCCCGGCCAGCUACUCUGGGCUCUGCCGAGGCGGGAACCUCAGCCCGUGUUAUACUGCGUGGGACUAGGCGCUUUUGCGGCCCCGCGCCUCCCCCGAUCUCUCCAGGGUUGUAACUUGAACGUGACAAAGGCCAGAUCUCCCUCUAUUGUGCAGUCCGAGAAGCCCGAGUGCCACGAAUCCCCUUAUAUAAGGAAUAUACAGGGAAAUGGUGGCCCGAGGUGACGCCAGCCACUGCCAUUCUCUGUGCUGAGGCGCCACCUAGAGGCCGGCUCUAGCUCAGACGACUGUGUAGGUACGGUUCCCAAUUUGCCUGGGCAGGGGAAACCGAGGAAAAGAGAUGUUCAAAGGACCAAAAGGCAAGAAAACGGCAGAGGACCCCAUCAGUCCCUUCACUAGCCCCCCUGGACUUGCUGAUGAGAUAGUCAAGGACUGACAUGUCUCAGCUUCUCACUGGACAAGAUUUCCUCCAUGGCCAGGGACCAGUGUGAGAAUGUCACUUUCUCACAUACUCUAAACUGUAGAUCCAAGAGCAAACUUGCCGAGAAAACCCACCAGUAUACCCUGCAGCCCAGACCCCAUCCCAUCUGCCACUCCUCUCCUACCCCAAAGUUUAGACUCUUGGGCUAGCUUGGGAAAACGUUUUUUCAGUGGAUAAGACCUCCUUUGGGGGAGAGUUUGCUGAUUCUGCUUACAUUUCUUGAAUCAGCUAUCCUACACUGAGCACGAACACAUAUUUAUGGUGGGCCAUUUAUUCAGAAGUAGCUGGAUGAGCCUACAAAGGCAUCAAAGAUAAGCCAAUACUUCAAAAUCAGCAUGGAGUUAUUUUUGCCUGAGGAAAAUCCAAGCCAGAUGGUCGCAGAGUAUCAAGAAAAGUAAGCCAAGCUCCCAAAUUGAGCAAGGAGUUCUUUUUUAAACCCUCUUACUUUAGGUUUUUCUCUUCAAUCCUUUGCCAGACCUGCAAUUUAGCUUCCUACUACUGGGCUUAUUGAACUCUUAAGUAUAACUGGGAAAUAAGAUACAUA